ACCAGCUCUGUAGGUCAGAAGUUAAAGCUCAGUGGGCUUCUGUGCUCAGGGUCUCACAAGGCUGAAACCAAGGUUUCAGUUAGGUCGGGAUCUUACCUGGAGGCUCUGGAAAGAUUUUACCCCCAAGCUCAUUCAGUAUAUUCUUGCGGCCCUGCCACCAGAUGAAAGGAAGAGCAUGAAAGCACCAGCAGAUCCGGGGCCCUGCCUUUCCAGCUUUAACAUGCCAACAAACGUGGACGGGGCGCUCGGCUGACGGAGGCAUCUGUUGUUCCUGUGCACCGGCUUCAGCUGGGAGCGGCUGAGAACAACAGGUCCACAGGAAGCAGCCAAGUGGAGAAAGUCCCAGAGAAGUGAGAAAAAGCCAGGCUCAGGAUGUGCUCAGAGAAGGCAAUGGCAACCCACUCCA
ensembl:lncRNA